CCCUUAGAUGUUCUGGGCCGCACGCGCGCUACACUGAUGCAUUCAACGAGUCUAAAACCUGCUCUGAUAGGGGUGGGUAAUCUUUCGAAUGUGCAUCGUGAUUGGGAUAGAUGAUUGCAAUUUUUCAUCUUCAACGAGGAAUGCCUAGUAAACGCAAGUCAUCAGCUUGCAUUGAUUACGUCCCUGCCCUUUGUACACACCGCCCGUCGCUCCUACCGAUUGAAUGAUCCGAUGAAUAUCAUAGACUGAGAGUAUAAGCAGGUUCGCCUGUCUUUGCUUCUCGGGAAGUGAAGUAAAUCUUAUCAUUUAGAGGAAGGAGAAGUCGUAACA
rnacentral:rRNA from 1 species